rnacentral:rRNA from 1 species
GGGGAAUAUUGCACAAUGGGGGAAACCCUGAUGCAGCAACGCCGCGUGAAGGAUGAAGGUUUUCGGAUCGUAAACUUCUUUGAUGAGGGACGAAUAAUGACGGUACCUCAAGAACAAGCCACGGCUAACUACGUGCCAGCAGCCGCGGUAAUACGUAGGUGGCGAGCGUUGUCCGGAUUUACUGGGUGUAAAGGGCGUGUAGGCGGGAAUGUAAGUCAGAUGUGAAACUCCGGGGCUCAACCUCGGAACUGCAUCUGAAACUAUGUUUCUUGAGUGCUGGAGAGGAAAGCGGAAUUCCUAGUGUAGCGGUGAAAUGCGUAGAUAUUAGGAGGAACACCAGUGGCGAAGGCGGCUUUCUGGACAGUAACUGACGCUGAGGCGCGAAAGCGUGGGGAGCAAAC